UCCCUGUUGCCAGGGCAGUCUGAUUAGAAAAAUUCAACUAACCACAAGGGUUGCGCUCGUUAAUGGACUUAACCAAACAUCUCACGACACGAGCUGACGACGGCCAUGCAUCACCUGUCACUGCGCUCACAAGGCACAGUCUCCUUUCGGAGACCUUCGCAGGAUGUCAAACCUGGGUAAGGUUCUUCGCUUAUCAUCGAAUUAAACAACACGCUCCACCGCUUGUGCGGGUCCCCGUCAAUUCCUUUAUGUUUUAGUCUUGCGACCGUACUCCACAGGCGGGAUGCUUAACGCGUUAGCUUCGCUACAUCCGGGGUCGAUACCGGAUACAGCCAGCAUCCAUCGUUUACGGCGUGGACUAC
rnacentral:misc_RNA from 1 species